rnacentral:lncRNA from 1 species
UGGAGUCUCGCUGUGUCGCCCAGGCUGGAGUGCAGUGGUACAAUCUCGGCAUGAGUCACGGUGCCUGGCCUGAAAGGUAGAAUUUUUUACUCAGCCCUCGAACCUGGGCUAUCCCCUGACUUGCUCUGGCCAACAGAACCUGUGGGAGUGACAGUGCAUGAAUUCCUGAGCCUAACAGUCUCUGUUUUGUUUUGUUUUCUUUCAUUUUUUGAGAUGGAGUCUCACUCUGUCGCCCAGGCUGGAGUGCAGUGGCGCGAUCUCGGCUCACCGCAACCUCCACCUCUCAGGUUCAAGUGAUUCUCCUGCCUCAGCCUCCCGAGUAGCUGGGAUUACAGGCACCCACCACCAUUCCCGGCUCAUUUUUGUAUUUUUAGUAGAGACAGGGUUUCACCACAUUGGCCAGGCUGGUCUCGAACUCCCGAUCUUAGGUGAUCCACCCACCUCGGCCUCCCAAAGUGCUGAGAUUACAGGCAUGAGCCACCAUGCCCAGUCAACAGUCUGUUUUUGUUCUCUGGGAAUGUUGUCCUGGCACUGCCACUUAAGGAAGCCAGUCUAACCCACUGAGGAUGAGCGGCCAGGUGAAGAAGAACACGGGGCCAGCACGCACUGCAGGACACGAGUGAGGCCCUUGGACUUUCCAGCCCAGCUGGCCCAGCAGCCAAAUACCACGCAUCAAUGACCCCAGUGAGUUCCACGGCACCGUUUCCAUGAUAUCACGACUGAUCCAUGCAGGAUCACGGCUAAUAAAUGGCUCUAAAACAACCUGUGAAGACAUAACCAUUAAGUGUGCCAGGUACCAAUCUGCAAUUCCACAUGCUGCACAUACAGCUCUGAAGCGCACGCUCCCCACAAGCCCGCCGUGGCUUUCUCAGAGGAUCGGGCAUAUGGAACCAUAAUGGAGCAUAAAUUUACAGCAACAGAGAUGGACGAGGGAGAUUAAAGCUUCAUCUGUAAGGACAUACUGCAUGGCAAAAAAAAAAAAAAGAAAAAAGAAAGAAAGAAAAAAGAAAACAACAGUUAUUGUAGUUUCUGCUUUGUAGUAUAAUGAGAAACUCAGUCGCUUUUGAUAGAGUGUGGGCUCCCUCUGCUGCUUGCAGGAGACACCAGGACUCCGGGCAUUUGGGGUUCCUUGGAGAUCAGCGCAGAGGAGGUGGCCUGAAGUGGGAAGAGAAAGAUGGGGCUGAGCGUUGCAGACGGACCGACUGGUUCUGCAGGCUCUGACCCUGUGGGCUUCUCAGAGUAAUUAUGCUGCUGCUGCACCAAGAAGCAAGAAAUGGAAAUAACAGAAAAACGCAAAGAAACUGUAAGAUGCACUGGCCAGAUCACCUGUGUGCACAGAGGAAUGCAUCACGGAAGCAAUGCAGCCUGCCCAGAGCAGCUUCUCCUUCCCUCCCUCCCUCCCUUCCUGUUUAAAUUUUUGCAGAGAUGGGGUCUCGUUAUGUUGCCCAGGCUGGUCUGGAACUCCUGGCUUAAAGCAAUCCUCCCGCCUCAGCCUCUCGAGUAGCUGGGACUACAAGUGCAAGCCACUGCUCUUCCUUCCUUCCUUCCUUCCUUCUUUCCCUUCCUCCCUUCCUUUCUUCUCCUUUCGUCCCUCCCUCCCUUCCUUCCUUUUCCCUCCAUCCCUGCCUCCCUCCUUCCCUCCCUUCCUACCUACCAACCUUCCUUCCUUCCUCCUUCCUUGUUUCCUCCCUCCUUCCCUCCCUCCCUCAUUCAUUUCCCAGUCACAAGGUAGGACUGCACUUCCCCACCCGCUUUGAUGUUAGGCAUAGUCACAUGAUUCACUUUGGCCAACACAAUAUAAAGAAAAAUGAUGGGUAUCAUCUCUGGCUGGAAACUUAAAGGGACAGGUCGGGUGCGGUGGCUCAUGGCUGUAAUCCUAGCACUUUGGGAGGCCAAGGCGGGUGGAUGACUUGAGGUCAGGAGUUCGAGACCAGCCUGGCCAACAUGGUGAAACCCCAUCUCUACUAAAAAUACAAAAAUUAGCUGGGUGCAGUGACACGUGCCUGUAAUCCCAGCUACUCAGGAGGCUGAGGCAGGAGAAUCGCUUGAACCCAGGAGGCAGAGGAUGCAGUGAGCUGAGAUUGAGAGGUGACAGCAUGCUGGCAGUCCUCAGAGCCCUCGCUUGCUCUCGGAGCCUCCUCUGCCUGGGUUCCCACUUUGGCGGCACUUGAGGGGCCCUUCGGCCCGCCGCUGCACUGUGAGAGCCCCUUUCUGGGCUGGCCAAGGCCAGAGCCAGCUCCCUCAGUUUGCAGGGAGGUGUGGAGGGAGAGGCGCGAGCAGGAACCGGGGCUGCGCGCAGCGCUUGCGGGCCAGCUGGAGUUCUGGGUGGGCGUGGGCUUGGCGGGCCCCGCACUCGGAGCAGCCGGCCAGCCCUGCCGGCCCCGGGCAAUGAGGGACUUAGCACCCGGGCCAGUGGCUGCGGAGGGUGUACUGGGUCCCCCAGCAGUGCCGGCCCACCGGCGCGGUGCUCGGGACCUGCAGUCUUAGCUGCCUUCCCACGGGGCAGGGCUCGGGACCUGCAGCCUGCCAUGUCUGAGCCUCCCACCCCCUCCAUGGGCUCCUGUGAGCCCGAGUCUCCCGGACGAGCACCACCCACUGCUCCAGGGCGCCCAGUCCCAUCGACCACCCAAGGGCUGAGGAAUGUGAGCGCACAGCGCAGGACUGGCAGGCAGCUCCACCUGCAGCCCCGGUGAGGGAUCCACUGGGUGAAGCCAGCUGGGCUCCUGAGUCUGGUGGGGACGUGGAGAGUCUUUAUAUCUAGCUCAGGGAUUGUAAAUACACCAAUCAGCACCCUGUGUUUAGCUCAAGGUUUGUGAGUGCACCAAUCGACACUCUGUAUCUGGCUGCUCUGGUGAGGACGUGGAGAACUUUUAUGUCUAGCUCAGGGAUUGUAAAUACACCAAUCGGCACUCUGUAUCUAGCUCAAGGUUUGUAAACACACCAAUCAGCACCCUGUGUUUAGCUCAAGGAUUGUAAAUACACCAAUCGGCACUCUGUAUCUAGCUCAAGGUUUGUAAACACACCAAUCAGCACCCUGUGUUUAGCUCAAGGAUUGUAAAUACACCAAUCGGCACUCU